UGCUAUACAUGCAGUCGAGCGCGGGAAGCAAGAUGACCCCUUCGGGGUGAUUCUUGUGGAACGAGCGGCGGACGGGUGAGUAACACGUGGGCAACCUGCCUGUAAGACUGGGAUAACUCGCGGAAACGUGAGCUAAUACCGGAUAACACUUUUCUUUACCUAAGGAAAAGUUGAAAGGCGGCUUUUCGGAGCUGUCACUUACAGAUGGGCCCGCGGCGCAUUAGCUAGUUGGUAGGGUAAUGGCCUACCAAGGCGACGAUGCGUAGCCGACCUGAGAGGGUGAUCGGCCACACUGGGACUGAGACACGGCCCAGACUCCUACGGGAGGCAGCAGUAGGGAAUCUUCCGCAAUGGACGAAAGUCUGACGGAGCAACGCCGCGUGAACGAUGAAGGUUUUCGGAUCGUAAAGUUCUGUUGUUAGGGAAGAACAAGUACCGUUCAAAUAGGGCGGUACCUUGACGGUACCUAACGAGGAAGCCCCGGCUAACUACGUGCCAGCAGCCGCGGUAAUACGUAGGGGGCAAGCGUUGUCCGGAAUUAUUGGGCGUAAAGCGCGCGCAGGCGGUUUUUUAAGUCUGAUGUGAAAUCUUGUGGCUCAACCACAAGCGGUCAUUGGAAACUGGAGAACUUGAGUACAGAAGAGGAGAGUGGAAUUCCACGUGUAGCGGUGAAAUGCGUAGAUAUGUGGAGGAACACCAGUGGCGAAGGCGACUCUCUGGUCUGUAACUGACGCUGAGGCGCGAAAGCGUGGGGAGCGAACAGGAUUAGAUACCCUGGUAGUCCACGCCGUAAACGAUGAGUGCUAGGUGUUAGGGGGUUUCCGCCCCUUAGUGCUGCAGUUAACGCAUUAAGCACUCCGCCUGGGGAGUACGGCCGCAAGGCUGAACUCAAAAGAGUGACGGGACCCG
rnacentral:rRNA from 1 species